UGAGUAGGAUAAAUGGUCGCGGAUGCUAUUGCCGAAAGGACGCAGACGAGGAAAGUCCGGGCUUCAUAGGGCAGGAUGCCGGCUAACGGCCGGUGGAGGUGACUCCCAGGAAAGUGCAACAGAGAGCAGACCGCCGGAUAUUCUCCGGUAAGGGUGAAAGGGCAGUGUAAGAGACUACCGCCUUUUUGGUAACAGAAAGGGCAUUGUAAACCCCAUUCGAAGCAAGACUGAACAGAAAGCAUAAAGUGGCCCGCUUGCUUUCGGGUAGGUCGCUUGAACAUAUUGGCAACAAUAUGUCUAGAUAGAUGACCAUUCAUGACAUAACCCGGCUUACAGUCCUACUCAUUAA
rfam:Eubacterium sp. CAG:156 genomic scaffold, scf74